GACGAACGCUGGCGGCGUGCUUAACACAUGCAAGUCGAACGGGGUGUUUAUUUCGGUAAACACCAAAGUGGCGAACGGGUGAGUAACGCGUAAGCAAUCUACCUUCAAGAUGGGGACAACACUUCGAAACGACUGCUAAUACCGCAUAAGCGCACGGUAUCGCAUGAUACAGUGUGAAAAACUCCGGUGGUAUAAGAUGGACCCGCGUCUGAUUAGCUAGUUGGUGAGGUAACGGCCCACCAAGGCGACGAUCGGUAGCCGGACUGAGAGGUUGAACGGCCACAUUGGGACUGAGACACGGCCCAGACUCCUACGGGAGGCAGCAGUGGGGAAUAUUGCACAAUGGGGGAAACCCUGAUGCAGCGACGCCGCGUGGAGGAAGAAGGUCUUCGGAUUGUAAACUCCUGUUGUUGAGGAAGAUAAUGACGGUACUCAACAAGGAAGUGACGGCUAACUACGUG
rnacentral:rRNA from 1 species